AUUGAACGCCGGCGGAACGCUUUACACAUGCAAGUCGAACGGUAGAGGGGGCAACCCCUCGAGAGUGGCGAACGGGUGAGUAAUAUAUCGGAACGUGCCCAGUCGUGGGGGAUAACGUAGCGAAAGUUACGCUGAUACCGCAUACGAUCUAAGGAUGAAAGCGGGGGAUCGCAAGACCUCGCGCGAUUGGAGCGGCCGAUAUCAGAUUAGGCAGUUGGUGGGGUAAAGGCUCACCAAGCCAACGAUCUGUAGCUGGUCUGAGAGGACGACCAGCCACACUGGAACUGAGACACGGUCCAGACUCCUACGGGAGGCAGCAGUGGGGAAUUUUGGACAAUGGACGCAAGUCUGAUCCAGCCAUUCCGCGUGCAGGAUGAAGGCCCUCGGGUUGUAAACUGCUUUUGUACGGAACGAAAAGGUCUCUCUUAAUACGGGGGACUCAUGACGGUACCGUAAGAAUAAGCACCGGCUAACUACGUGCCAGCAGCCGCCGCAG
rnacentral:rRNA from 1 species